GACGAACGCUGGCGGCGUGCUUAACACAUGCAAGUCGAACGGAAAGGCCCUGCUUUUGUGGGGUGCUCGAGUGGCGAACGGGUGAGUAACACGUGAGUAACCUGCCCUUGACUUUGGGAUAACUUCAGGAAACUGGGGCUAAUACCGGAUAGGAGCUCCUGGUGCAUGGUGGGGGUUGGAAAGUUUCGGCGGUUGGGGAUGGACUCGCGGCUUAUCAGCUUGUUGGUGGGGUAGUGGCUUACCAAGGCUUUGACGGGUAGCCGGCCUGAGAGGGUGACCGGCCACAUUGGGACUGAGAUACGGCCCAGACUCCUACGGGAGGCAGCAGUGGGGAAUAUUGCACAAUGGGCGGAAGCCUGAUGCAGCAACGCCGCGUGCGGGAUGACGGCCUUCGGGUUGUAAACCGCUUUCGCCUGUGACGAAGCGUGAGUGACGGUAAUGGGUAAAGAAGCACCGGCUAGCUACGUG
rnacentral:rRNA from 1 species